rnacentral:rRNA from 1 species
UACAGAGGUGGCAAGCGUUGUUCGGAAUUACUGGGCGUAAAGGGCGCGUAGGCGGCCUUCUAAGUCAGGCGUGAAAUCCCCCGGCUUAACCUGGGAACUGCGUCUGAUACUGGAGGGCUUGAGUGCGGGAGAGGGAUGUGGAAUUCCAGGUGUAGCGGUGAAAUGCGUAGAUAUCGAGAGGAACACCUGCGGCGAAGGCGGGUUGCUGGGCUGACACUGACGCUGAUUGUGCGAAAGCUAGGGGAGCGAACGGG